rnacentral:rRNA from 1 species
AUUGAACGCUGGCGGCAUGCCUUACACAUGCAGGUCGAACGGCAGCACAGGUGCUUGCACCUGGUGGCGAGUGGCGAACGGGUGAGUAAUACAUCGGAACGUACCUUAUCGUGGGGGAUAACGCAGCGAAAGUUGCGCUAAUACCGCAUACGCCCUGAGGGGGAAAGCGGGGGACCGUAAGGCCUCGCGCGAUUAGAGCGGCCGAUGUCUGAUUAGCUUGUUGGUGAGGUAAAAGCUCACCAAGGCGAUGAUCGGUAGCUGGUCUGAGAGGACGAUCAGCCACACUGGGACUGAGACACGGCCCAGACUCCUACGGGAGGCAGCAGUGGGGAAUUUUGGACAAUGGGGGCAACCCUGAGCCAGCAAUGCCGCGUGAGUGAAGAAGGCCUUCGGGUUGUAAAGCUCUUUUGUCAGGGAAGAAACAGCAGCUCUAACACAGUCUGCGAAUGACGGUACCUGAAGAAUAAGCACCGGCUAACUACGUGCCAGCCGCCGCGGUAA